rnacentral:lncRNA from 1 species
GAUCAGCGAGAUCCGGCAGAUGUCAGGGGCACACAUUAAGAUCGGGAACCAAGCGGAGGGUGCUGGGGAGCGGCAUGUGACCAUCACUGGCUCACCGGUCUCCAUUGCCCUGGCUCAGUACCUCAUCACUGCCUGGUAUCCUACCUAAGUCACCUAUGUUGCCUCGUUUACGACUUCUGUAUCGUUCCUCAUAUCCUGUCUUAUCCUUGUCCUUUUCCUCAGAUCUUCUCUCCUAUUUGUCCUCUUUUUUUUCUUUUUUUUCGGAGCUGGGGACCGAACCCAGGGCCUUGCUCUUGCUAGGCAAGUGCUCUACCACUGAGCUAAAUCCCCAAUCCCCUAUUUGUCCUCUUACCCUGUUUUGUCUGCCUUUGAUUUCUGCCCUCCCUCCCUUCAUACCUUUCCAACCCCUCCCUCAAGCACACCCAGCCCAUGCCCGCUCCUGUCUACUCCUCUAUCUUUUGGCUGACCUCAUGGCUCCUGUCUCACCCCCACCUUUCCCUUCAUCUCCCCUCUGUAUCCCUCUCUCCAGUCUAGAGACGGCCAAGUCUACCUCUGGGGGGACGCCUGGCUCAGCCCCCGCAGACCUGCCCACCCCUUUCUCGCCACCCCUGACGGCCCUGCCCACAGCUCCCCCAGGCCUGCUGGGCACACCUUAUGCCAUCUCCCUCUCCAACUUCAUCGGCCUCAAGCCUGUGCCCUUCCUGGCUCUACCACCUGCUUCCCCAGGGCCACCGCCGGGCUUGGCGGCCUACACUGCCAAGAUGGCAGCGGCCAAUGGGAGCAAGAAAGCUGAACGGCAGAAAUUCUCCCCCUACUGAGGCCGGCUGAGGCACAGGCGGGGGCAGGCAGGACCGCCGGCAGGGGCUGCCUCUACAUCCUUCCUGCCCAAGGAGACUCCACCACGGGGUCUCAAGCGCCAGUAAUGCCAGACGCAUGGAUGCACCCCCUACCCUGCCCCAUCUUUGGAGAUCCUCCUCAGAGAGGGGACAGUUCCUGGCCCAGGGUUCUAGGAGUUUGGCAGCCCCAGAGCAGGGGCUCCACCCCUUCAGACCUAUGCUUGGAUGCAGGGAGUAGCUGGGGCCUCCCCAGUGCCCUGCCGUGGGAGGGGCUACUCGUGUCCUCUCCAUCCCUUUGGGCUUCUUCCUGCUGCCCCAGUGGGAAUUGGAGGAGAGUGAGGGGUGGCUGGGGCCAAGCUUCUCUUCAUCCCCUGCAGAUCCUGCUGCUUCCACUGAUACCCUUUUGACUGGAAUAGACUGGCUGGGCUUGUCCGGGGGGCAACCCAAAGAGAGGGCUCUGCCUAUAGCAGGGGGUGUGGCCUGGGGGGCAGGGGCCCAGUUCUCAGCAGCAGACACUCUGUACAGUUUUUUUCAAUCCCCGUUUUUGAAUAAAUAUUCUCAGCGACCAGAAAGCCGUGAAAU